rnacentral:sRNA from 1 species
UACCGUUUCACUGGGUCUCCCUAUACCCCC